AUGGGCGGCAACGCGGCGGCCCACCGCCUGGAAUCUGCCAUCCUCGAGCGCAGCUGCCAGCCCCCUACUCAUCCGCGGCGGCAUGGCCCACAGGCCACGGCCUCUCUGCCGAUCCCCGACGAGCUCCUGGCUCAAAUCUUCCUCCGCCUGCCCACCCCAACCGACCUCCUCCGCGCCUCCGCCGCCUGCGUCUCCUUCCGCCGCGUCGUGGCCGACCGCUCCUUCCUCCGCCAGUACCGCAAGCUCCACGCCCCGCCCCUGCUCGGCUUCCUCAGUACAAACACCGGUUUCCACCCCGCUGAGCCGCCUCACCCCUCCGCGUCAGUAGCCGGCGCCGUUGCCCUCGCCGCCGACUUCACCUUCUCCUUCGUCCCUUCCCCAGCCCCCACUACCUGCUGGUUCAUCCAGGACAUCCGCGACGGCCGCGUCCUCCUCGGCCCCCGAGGAUAUUUUUGUGGAGCCAUGGCGGUGUGCGACCCCCUGCACCGGCGAUACCUUCUGCUUCCACCAAUCCCUCACCACCUAGCUGCUACGGUGGAGGAACCAUUCUUGAGAGAGGCUUUCCUGAUUUCCGGUGAUGAAGACGAGGCAGCAGCAGAUACGGAAGAGACAUCAUUCAGAGUCAUGUGUAUGGUGCAGUGUGAAGCUAAGCUCAUCGCCUUUGUCUUCUCUUCCAGCACCAGACAAUGGCGAGCCAUUGCAUCCCACAGCUGCAGUGCUUUGUCGGCAGAGAAGAUUCUCUUCUACUGGCGCCAAUACGCAUAUGGCUGCUUUUACUGGCUGUCGCACGCCCAGAGUACAAUGUUCGAGUACAGAAUGAAAAUAUUGGUGCUCGACACCCGGAGGAUGGAGUUCUCCAUUGCUGACCCCCCAUCCGAAUUCGAAUGCGCAUCGGGUCUUGAUAUAAUUAUGGUGGAGGCAGGAGAAGGCAGGCCUGGGAUGCUUGUCCGUGGACAUGACACAUCUGACCGCGUGUAUACUAUUUGGAGAAACAAUGGUGGGGGUUCCAGCCAUUGGCAGAAGGAGAAGAUAAUCUCACCCUCACCAGGCUCAGACGUUCAAUAG
rnacentral:rRNA from 1 species